GUCCGUUCAUCCCGCAAGGGACGCAUGACAUGAGGUGACAUGGAACGGGGUCCCUCA
rfam:Marine metagenome 1096626609311, whole genome shotgun sequence.